GAACGCUAGCGGGAUGCCUUACACAUGCAAGUCGAACGGCAGCGCGGACUUCGGUCUGGCGGCGAGUGGCGAACGGGUGAGUAAUGUAUCGGAACGUGCCCAGUAGCGGGGGAUAACUACUCGAAAGAGUAGCUAAUACCGCAUACGCCCUACGGGGGAAAGGGGGGGAUCGCAAGACCUCUCACUAUUGGAGCGGCCGAUAUCGGAUUAGCUAGUUGGUGAGGUAAAGGCUCACCAAGGCGACGAUCCGUAGCUGGUUUGAGAGGACGACCAGCCACACUGGGACUGAGACACGGCCCAGACUCCUACGGGAGGCAGCAGUGGGGAAUUUUGGACAAUGGGGGAAACCCUGAUCCAGCCAUUCCGCGUGUGCGAUGAAGGCCUUCGGGUUGUAAAGCACUUUUGGCAGGAAAGAAAUCGCAUGGAUUAAUACUCUGUGUGGAUGACGGUACCUGCAGAAUAAGCACCGGCUAACUACGUGCCAGCAGCCCGCGGUAAUACGUAGGGUGCAAGCGUUAAUCGGAAUUACUGGGCGUAAAGCGUGCGCAGGCGGUUCGGAAAGAAAGGUGUGAAAUCCCAGGGCUUAACCUUGGAACUGCACUUUUAACUACCGAGCUAGAGUAUGUCAGAGGGGGGU
rnacentral:rRNA from 1 species